AGUAUACCAUUCCAGAAACGGAUGAGGAAAUGGAUGAUAAUCGCUCUGCUUCAUCCAUGCCAAUGGAUGAAGAGAUUCAAGCAGAUGAAACUCUCAAGUCACAACACCUCCUCCUCAAAACCCAGAAAUGACUGCUGAAGAAAAGGAGGGUGAUGAAGACAUUGGAAGCAGCACACCUGUUAUCCAUGAUGAGUUUUGGGAAAAGGCUCACCCAAACUC
rnacentral:lncRNA from 1 species